GGAUAAAGUAGGCUAAACUUAAGCAGGUUCCCCACGUUAAACUGCUAUAUGCAUUAUGCUACAUGUCAUUGUAAAAUUGUAAUAGGCUUCUUUUCUUAAAUGCAUAUGACUCGGGAUGUCAGUUUGACGUAAGCCAGUAUGGCUAUGAUUAAACUAAUCAAGAGCAUAUUUUUAAAUGAGCGGGUCGGGUGCAUUAUUUUUAUAUAAGGCCUAAUAUUUGAGGUCCGAGUUGCGGUCAUUUAUGUACACGCGCACGAAUACUAUAGAGAGAUCGGUUCCGUGAUUUAGAAAAGUACAAGACACGCCUCCUACUACAAGUUACGCCUACUACAAGUCACGCCUCCAUCUUGCAGGAAGCAGACGGAUACUAUUGGAGUGGUUGCGUAAAUAGCACACCUGUUUUUGAAGUGGAUGAUUAUGUUGCAAAGGCGUUGAUUGGCUACAGGGCCAUAAUAUAAAGAGAUAGCAGAGGAUCAGUGCAACAGUGUUUUAGGUCUGGUUUGGCCUCAACCAAUCUGUCUGGGAAAUACUUUGAAUAUAGUUUGCCAUGGCUGUUGGGUGCAUUCUCAGAGUGUCUUGGUUUUGUUUGUUGCUGUUUGGUGGCAGUCUUCCUUUUCCAUCAAUGAAGGGUUAUAGCUAUACCUCCAAGAAUGACCAUCCUGAAAUUGGGGGUGAUAAAGAUGACGAGCUACAAACUUCUCAUACUCUAAGGUUUGAUGCAUAUAGCCUAGAAAAAGGCUAUUCAGACCGAAGCAAAAACGUCCCACUAGCUGCAGCUCCAAAGCAGGCACCGUUGAACCCCGAGGAAGGGGCGAGGAUCCAGGGAGGAGGAGCUGUGGAGUUUGGACAGAAAAAUGCUGAGAUGGAAGACCAGAAACUUGUCAAGCCAGUGACAUUCCCUCUAAACCCUCCCAACCAGCAUGAUCACUCUUUUGAGGAGCAGUGGGGCAGCACGAAGCCUCACUUCCCACCCUCUGACACUAAAGGGGCUUACUCUUCAUUGCACCUUGACCUCCCAGCUGGUGUACAAGAAGGUUCACAAAGCUAUUCCACUAACCUUGUCGAUGAGGCUGUUUAUCAAUACCCAGCUGCUGAAACUGCACAGCUUCCUUCACCAGAUGAUGACCCCUACACCUAUGACUCUGUGGUUGCGGAACAGCCAAGCAGUUGGUCCUCUGAUCGUUACAUUACCACAGAAGAGCCGGUAUUCUCCAGUAAUGCAGAAGAGAGUGACCUCUCCGACUACAACUCUGUGAAUGUGGUCCAGCCCAGCACUUGGUCUUCUGCUCCUUACAUGACUAGAGAAGAGGAGCCGGUUUACGUCAGUAAUUCAGGUGACUGGGCCCAAGCAGCGCAGACCAUUAGCGAACAGCCUCUGGAGGCGGAAGCAGUACCUAGUACUGACACUAAAGGGGAUUACUCUAGCUCUUCACUGAACCUCAACUUCCAAGCUGGUGUACAAGAAGGUUCACAAAGCUAUUCCACUAACCUUGUCGAUGAGGCUGUUUAUCAAUACCCUGCUGCUGAAGCUGAACAGCUUCAUUCAGAGGGGGUUGACGCCUCCAAGUAUGACUCUAUGAACGCAGUCCAGCCAAGCACUUGGUCCUCGGCUUCCUACUUGACCAGAGAAGAGGAGCCGGCAUUCUCCAGUCAUACAGGUCACUGGGCCCAUGUUGCUCCUGUGGAAACCCCUGCCUAUCCAAGCUAUGUGACUGACUACGGCUUGGACUCGACUUCAAGUAAAGCCGCUGCACAACCAGUCCUCUUCAAGCCACUGAAGAAGGCUCCUCAGCUCCCCAGCUCCAAGUGGCUUCAGAGGCCAAAGAAGGUGAGGGACCAGACUGCAUCUACCUACAUUGUCCAAUCCAAGGGCUCACACCGCCGAAGCCGCCAGAUGUUAUCCAAGAAGAAGUACUUCAGCGGUUUCCCUCCACCACCCCCAUCCGUGCUUAUGGCUCUGAGACCGUAAGGGGUAAAUGGUGACCACUUGGCCUUCAAUCAAUUGUGUAUUUUUCCCACUUGCUUAUGGAUUUCUACACUGACUAUACCUUCAGUAAUGCUUCGCACUUUCAGCAUAAAAGCUUGUUCCCUGAAAAGAAUAAACAAAAUGUAACCAUUUAAACUUGACUU
ensembl:lncRNA